rnacentral:rRNA from 1 species
UGGGGAAUUUUGGACAAUGGGGGAAACCCUGAUCCAGCCAUCCCGCGUGUGCGAUGAAGGCCUUCGGGUUGUAAAGCACUUUUGGCAGGAAAGAAACGUCGCGGGUUAAUACCCCGCGAAACUGACGGUACCUGCAGAAUAAGCACCGGCUAACUACGUGCCAGCAGCCGCGGUAGUACGUAGGGUGCAAGCGUUAAUCGGAAUUACUGGGCGUAAAGCGUGCGCAGGCGGUUCGGAAAGAAAGAUGUGAAAUCCCAGAGCUUAACUUUGGAACUGCAUUUUUAACUACCGGGCUAGAGUGUGUCAGAGGGAGGUGGAAUUCCGCGUGUAGCAGUGAAAUGCGUAGAUAUGCGGAGGAACACCGAUGGCGAAGGCAGCCUCCUGGGAUAACACUGACGCUCAUGCACGAAAGCGUGGGGAGCAAAACAGGAUUAGAUACCCUGGUAGUCCACGCCCUAAAACGAUGUCAACUAGCUGUUGGGGGCCUUCGGGCCUUGGUAGCGCAGCUAACGCGUGAAGUUGACCGCCUGGGGAGUACGGUCGCAAGAUU